rnacentral:rRNA from 1 species
CCUACGGGAGGCAGCAGUGGGGAAUAUUGGGCAAUGGGCGCAAGCCUGACCCAGCAACGCCGCGUGAAGGAAGAAGGCUUUCGGGUUGUACACUUCUUUUAUCAGGGAAGAAGAAAGUGACGGUACCUGAGGAGUAAGCCACGGUUAACUACGUGCCAGCAACCGCGGUAAUACGUAGGUGGAAAGCGUUAUACGGAUUGACGGGGUGUAAAGGGCGGAAAGGCGGGAAAGCAAGUCAGAUGUGAAAACCAUGGGCUCAACCUGUGGACUGCAUUUGAAACUGUUGAUCUUGAGUACUGGAGAGGCAGACGGAAUUCCUAGUGUAGCGGUGAAAUGCGUAGAUAUUAGGAGGAACACCAGUGGCGAAGGCGGUCUUCUGGACAGCAACUGACGCUGAGGCGCGAAAGCGUGGGGAGCAAACAGGAUUAGAUACCCCUGUAGUC